rnacentral:rRNA from 1 species
GAUGAACGUUGGCGGCGUGGAUUAGGCAUGCAAGUCGUACGCAUAGCUUCGGCUAUGAGUGGCGCAAGGUGAGUAAUGCGAAGGUAACCAACCCUGGUGUUGGGCAUAGCCGCGGGAAACUGCGGGUAAUUCCCAGCGACGUCACGAGAUGGCAUCAUCUUGUGACCAAAGGUGUGAUUCCGCUCUAGGACGGGCCUUCGUGGUAUUAGGUAGUUGGUGAGGUAACGGCUCACCAAGCCGACGAUGCCUACCGGGUGUGAGAGCAUGACCCGGCACACUGGAACUGAGACACUGUCCAGACACCUACGGGUGGCUGCAGUCGAGAAUCUUCGGCAAUGGGCGAAAGCCUGACCGAGCGACGCCGCGUGAGGGAUUG